UUCCAACAUGGCGCAUGCUAUUGUUGAAGCAGGAACUAGUCUUCCCUGGAAGAAAUGCAUCCUUGCAGGGAAUGUUAGACAGUGCUGUUGGUAUUUCGGUGGGAUCUGCAAGGAUAGAACAAAGCAUGAUGAGAGGAAGAAGGAAUCUGCUCAAGCACAUGGAUGUUGUGAUGGAUGGUUGAACCACAGACACUUCACACAUGCUGUCUGAGUCCAGGAAUCUGUGUUCACAGAGGGAUCUGCAAGAAGACCAGCAAUAACAGUGGUGAUACUCAACAGCACGGCGACUGUGUUACUUAAUUCUUUACACAGGCUGCCUGGCCUCAAGUAUAUUUUGGACACUUCU